GCAGCCGCGGUAAUACGUAGGUGGCGAGCGUUAUCCGGAAUUACUGGGUGUAAAGGGUGUGUAGGCGGGAGUGCAAGUCAGGCGUGAAAUAUACGGGCUCAACCCGUAAACUGCGCUUGAAACUGUGCUUCUUGAGUGUGGGAGAGGUAAACGGAAUUCCUGGUGUAGUAGUGAAAUGCGUAGAUAUCAGGAGGAACACCGGUGGCGAAGGCGGUUUACUGGACCACAACUGACGCUGAGACACGAAAGCGUGGGGAGCAAACAGGAUUAGAUACCCC
rnacentral:rRNA from 1 species